rnacentral:lncRNA from 1 species
UGGUAAGAAAUCUAUUAGCCUGACUUUAAUAGCCUCCAGGUCUUUAGAAGAUGUUUCGAACUAAAGUAUAUUGUGAGUAAGUGGAAACCAGAGUCCUAACACAUAUGUUAUCUACAGACAGUUUGAAUUUGGCAGACCCAACAUCCUUCCCUGUCAGGAGAGGCAAAUGAGACACAGGCACUGUAACCUUUACUGAGGCUUUAGGUGGCAUUUCCAACAAUUGCUUCCCAUCUCGACAUCACAAGUACUCCCUAGCACUGAGAACAAUUGUACAUUGAUGACAUUUGCAAGUGACGCCAGCUUUGUAGGCCUCACCAGGACAGCAGGGGACUGUAAUAUCAUGCAGAAAGCUGGAAAAAACUGUUUAGCUGAGGAACCAAUCAAUAAUACUGCUCAGAGCAAAUGCUUAUCUGCAUCCUGUUUGAGAUUGACACGGGAGGUAUUAAUAUUGUAUGUGCUUGUCUAGUGGAUAAAAUAAUCGAGCACCAUCAAAAUGCAAAGCAGCUCCUGCAACUUUGCUUUCUCCAGCAGUGAAAUCUGCUUUUCCAUCUGAAUUCCCUUUCUCCUGCAAUGCCAUCUAGAGGAAACCAGGCAGAUGAAAAGGAGGGCAGAGACCAAGGGAUGAGAAGGCAGCAGUUGUCGGGUGAAGACGAAACUUCCCCCAGACCUAGCUAAUGAAAUGAAUUAGGCUUUCCAAUCUAUGAAGCCAUUAGAAGAAGGGCAAGCCCUGGCUCGGAUGCCUUGCUGGGACUGGCAUAGCAGCUCGCACCCGAGCAGCGGGUGACUCAGCAAGAGGAUUUCCCACGGCACCUUUCUAAGAACUGCACUGCUUCUGUGCUACGGGUCUCUGGCUGCCGAAGGGAGAUGCAAUUCAUGAGGAUUUCUGCAAUUUGCAUCUGCAAACAAGUGAAAGAAAAGCUUAAACAUCCCAGAUUUGACAGGAGAUAUAAAGGAAAAAGAAAAAUCGGGAACUAACAUUUGCAGUGAAUUACAGAUGCCUCCGGGCAAACCAGCACAGCGCCAGGAAUUUGGCUAGGGAAGUCUGGACCCUGAUUUUCACCCUCACCUGCAUGCUCCUUGCUGGGACCUUGGGCACUAAUUCAGCUCCCUAUUAACUUCCUCUCAGAGGGGUCGUUUGUGAAGGACUAAGACUUUGAGACAUCCAGAUGACAGCACAUCUGCACGCCCAGCAAUACGCUGUUCUGGCAGCUUCAGCCCUGUUCCGUAUGGCAUCAGGCACUGCAGCCACUGUCCCUUAACUCCACAGGGACUAACAUGAGAACAAGCAGGAUUAAAACUUAAGCAAUAAGCUUGCCACAUGGAAUAUAGAAUAAUAUUGGAAAUGCAUCACCCCUUUCGCCUAAACAGAAUUUAAACCGUUUUUCUCAGAUCACAGCUCCCAUAUACUAUUAAUACAGAUGUUCCUACCUGAGGGCUCAAGCUUUAUCCUUGGAGUUUCCCCUCACUUUAAAAAAAGUAUCAGUCACUCAGGGUGGGGAACAAAAAAAACACACACAACCAAUUCUUAGAUUUUGGGGAAACAAAACAGUUCAAAAUACUUUGUUUUGACAAAUGAUGGCUGUAUUUUUACCCUUGAAGCCUAAAGGACAUUUUAAAGCCAUAAGCUUGAUGAAAUGAGCAAUAAGGCCAUAUUACCACAUCUUGAUGCUUUUAAUAAAAGAUCCAACUAAAAGAAAAAUAUGGUAUUU